rnacentral:rRNA from 1 species
UACAGAGGUCUCGAGCGUUAGGCGGAAUCACUGGGCUUAAAGCGUGUGUAGGCGGAUCGUUAAGUGUCUUGUGAAAUCCCACGGCUCACCCGUGGAACUGCUGGGCAUACUGGCGAUCUUGGGCCAACUAGGGGCAACUGGAACAAGCGGUGGAGCGGUGAAAUGCGUAGAUAUCGCGUGGAACGCCAAAGGUGAAAACAGGUUGCUGGGGUUGUGCCGACGCUGAGACACGAAAGCCAGGGGAGCAAACGGG